CCUUGCUAAAAACCUAGGCAGUUGGUUGGGAAAGUUCACCAUUGGUAGGAAUCAGGCACUAAGGGCUAAGGAGAUUGAUCCAAAAUCUCUUAUCGUGGAGGCAUAUGAGAAAGGAUUGAUGAUUGCGGUCAUACCAUUCACUUCAAAGAUCCUUGAACCUUGCCAGUCAAGUAUCGCAUAUCGACCUCCAAAUCCCUGGACCAUGGGAAUUCUAAGUCUACUUGCUGAAAUUUAUAAUCUUCCAAACCUCAAGAUGAAUCUGAAAUUUGAUAUUGAGGUGCUAUUUAAGAACCUUACUGUUGACAUAAAGGAUGUGAAACCAACUUCCCUGCUCAAAGAUCGUCUGCGCGAAGUCGAGGGAAAUCCAGAUUUUUCAAAUAAAGAUGUUACUGCAUCUCAAACCCCUGUGGUUGCAGAAGUCCCUUCAGGGACCAUCCCUUCACUAACUCAUAUGGAACAACAACCUGAGAUCAAUAUCACAUCCCGAGCUAUGAGCCUUCCAAAUAUACUUAAUCAGUAUGCUGCUCCUGUUCGUCUACCUACAAACAGCACGGUAGAAGAUGACAAAGUUGCUCUGAUGAUGCCUGAGCAAGUGCCCUCGUUGACCCAGGUUUCGCCAGCACAAACACAAUCAACAUCACCAUCUCCAUUUUCUGUUAACCAGCUUAUGGCGGCUAUUCCACGUGAAGAGAUACGUUUCAAAAUAAAUCCAAAGCUCGGCUCCCUUGGUCCACAAGUGCAAUAUAGCAAGUAUGCCUCCAAGUUUCUGAAAGGAAUUUGUUAUAUUUCAUUUCGUAUUUAA